ensembl:lncRNA
AUCUACAGCUGCUCUGGUGUUUUUCAGUUUCAAUUAAUUUAAUGGGAGCCUUUUCUUAUUUUUAUGAACUUUUGCUUCCAGAUCAGCAAUUGUAUAAUGCUUUAUCAGAGCAUUAAAACUUCUGUUCUGUUCGAGUCCAUGAACAUAUUUGAAAACAUCUAUGCAUAUAAUCACUGUAGAAGAAACCAGUGCUUUGUUCUUUGAGCUCAGUCUGAUUUCCUCUUGCUGGAUUUUAUAGGUGCGUAACACCAGGCAGUUUCACACUCUUCAUAUGACAUACUCAAGAACUGAAGAUGAAUAUCCAGCAGCUCCUCCUGGGGAAAUCUCAUUUGGCAUAGCUCUCCAACAUUCCCUUUCAGGAGGGAAUUUCACCAUUUACCUUUCAGGAGCAGGGGCAUGCAUUUUCUGCAGCUGUGCUUGAUUUAUCUCUAAAAAGCAGGAACAAUCAGAGGUCGACUUACUCCUAUACUUUGGCUCAUUGUCUUGCUGCAUAAUGCAGUUGUGCUUGAGUUUCAACUUGCGGACUGAAGACCGGAUAUUCUCCUUUAGGAUUUUCUGGUAGAGAGCAGAAUUCAUGUUUCCCUCAAUUAUUGCAAGUUGCCCAGGCCCUGAAGCAGUAAAGCAUCCCCACACCAUCAAACUUCCUCCACCAUGCUUGACUGUGUGUGUAAUCAAAUGUCGGGUGACCAUGAACGUGAUAGUGAGUGUGUAUGCUGGGAGCUGGAGUCCAAGGUGGCCAUGUUUGCAGUCUGUGAUCUGUGUUUGGAAAUGGAGUUCGGGGCAGCCAUGUUUGUAGGCAGCAGAGCCACCUGGGAGUUGGAGUCCCUCACUAAUUCUGGAGUAUACUUGACAGCGAGAUUGCUGGUGAGAUUUUAUUUACAGGCAAAAUGCGGCUUGGUUGCUUUUCAUUUAAUGUGGCUUAGCUUUUGAAAUACACACUGACAAACCUCAGCCCCACUGCAGACACCCUAUAAACCACACUGCCAGCUGCCACAAGCAUAAAACGAUGUCUGCUUUUAUGCUUGGCUUUAUUCACAGCCUACAGCCCAUACAGUGCCACUGGAUGAAAGAAUGACAUUUACUUCUUGAGGACAGGAAAUGUAGCUCACAAGCUAGCAGUUAAGGAAUUAAUCUGUAACUACUCUUUAUGCAAUAAUUAUGCAAUUACAUGGAAAGCCU